UGAGUAACGCGUGAGGAACCUGCCUUUCAGAGGGGGACAACAGUUGGAAACGACUGCUAAUACCGCAUGAUGUAUCGGGAUCGCAUGGUACUGAUACCAAAGAUUUAUCGCUGAAAGAUGGCCUCGCGUCUGAUUAGCUAGUUGGUGAGGUAACGGCCCACCAAGGCGACGAUCAGUAGCCGGACUGAGAGGUUGACCGGCCACAUUGGGACUGAGAUACGGCCCAGACUCCUACGGAAGGCAGCAG
rnacentral:rRNA from 1 species